rnacentral:rRNA from 1 species
AUUGAACGCUGGCGGUAUGCCUUACACAUGCAAGUCGAACGGCAGCACGGGAGCAAUCCUGGUGGCGAGUGGCGAACGGGUGAGUAAUAUAUCGGAACGUGCCCAGUCGUGGGGAUAACGUAGCGAAAGCUACGCUAAUACCGCAUACGAUCUAUGGAUGAAAGCGGGGGAUCGCAAGACCUCGCGCGAUUGGAGCGGCCGAUAUCAGAUUAGGUAGUUGGUGAGGUAAAGGCUCACCAAGCCGACGAUCUGUAGCUGGUCUGAGAGGACGACCAGCCACACUGGGACUGAGACACGGGCCCAGACUCCUACGGAGGCAGCAGUGGGGAAUUUUGGACAAUGGGCGCAAGCCUGAUCCAGCAAUGCCGCGUGCAGGAUGAAGGCC